GCUUCAACGAAUGGGAGUGUUUAACUACUAUGGCAUUGACCAUAAUGUUCUCGUACGAUCGGCCGGGAGACGUUAAAAAAAUGACACAACAGCUGAUUCAGCCGGUAACGAAUUUCCAAUAUCAUUUUAACAUUCACAAUACAAAGGGAAUUUCCUCUGCUUAAUGGAGCCCCUAAAUAAAUGUGAAUAGUUAAGUUUUAUUCAAAAUUGUCGAAAGCAAAGUUUCAUAUGUGUUCUCGUACGAAUACUGAAUAACAGACGGACGGUCACAC
rnacentral:lncRNA from 1 species